UACGAAGGGAGCAAGCGUUGUUCGGAAUAACUGGGCGUAAAGGGCGCGUAGGCGGAUUGGUAAGUUUGAUGUGAAAUACCUGGGCUCAACCUGGGAACUGCAUCGGAUACUGCUAGUCUAGAGUGUUGAAAGGGAUGAUGGAAUUAUGCAUGGAGAGGUGGAAUUCAUAGAUAUGCAUAGGAACACCGGAGGCGAAGGCGAUCAUCUGGGCAACAACUGACGCUGAGGCGCGAAAGCGUGGGGAGCAAACAGG
rnacentral:rRNA from 1 species